UACGAAGGGUGCAAGCGUUAAUCGGAAUUACUGGGCGUAAAGCGUGCGUAGGUGGUUGUUCAAGUCUGUCGUGAAAGCCCUGGGCUCAACCUGGGAAUGGCGAUGGAAACUGGACGGGCUAGAGUGCGGUAGAGGAUGGCGGAAUUCCCGGUGUAGCGGUGAAAUGCGUAGAGAUCGGGAGGAACAUCCGUGGCGAAGGCGGCCAUCUGGACCAGCACUGACACUGAGGCACGAAAGCGUGGGGAGCAAACAGGAUUAGAUACCCA
rnacentral:rRNA from 1 species